rnacentral:lncRNA from 10 species
GCCUUGCAGGCGGCGCGCGGACCUUGGGAAACCGGCUCUGAGCAUCGCUGUGAGGCAGCCAAGGACUGGAGGCAGGAAAAGAGGAAGACAGUAACUUGACAGUGGAGAAACCUGGAAGCCAUUGCCUUAACCGAGUCAUGAAGAAUAACAACACCCGUCCUGGAGGCAGAAAAACCAUCUUGUGCCCAUGAGGGAGAACACCAAACAAAUCUGGAUGACUUCCUUGAGUAGCUGCAUUUAUAUUGGACUGUCUACCUCCUGACUUCUUGUCUUGUGAUGCUACAUGAAUUGCUGUCCACACCUUCUGCUACUUUCCUCUGUUGGCCAGAAGAAUAAUUUUAAUGUCGCCCAAAUGGAUUAUGCUGACCUCAACCCAGAUCCCCCUGGGAGAUAUAAACUUCUUAUAUGUUCCUGGCUGGG